CGCCUUGCCAGCCCGCUCAGAAACUUAAAGGAAUUGACGGGGGCCCGGCACAAACGGUGGAGUAUGUGGUUUAAUUCGAUGCAACGCGAAGAACCUUACCUGGUCUUGACAUCCCGGAGACCCUUAGGAAACUAGGGGGUGCUUCCAUCUGGAAGAAUCUGGAGACAGGUGCUGCAUGGCUGUCGUCAGCUCGUGUCGUGAGAUGUUGGGUUAAGUCCCGCAACGAGCGCAACCCUUGCCUUUAGUUGCCAGCAGUUCGGCUGGGCACUCUAAAGGGACUGCCGGUGUUAAACCGGAGGAAGGUGGGGAUGACGUCAAGUCCUCAUGGCCUUUAUGACCAGGGCUACACACGUACUACAAUGGCCGAUACAAAGGGCAGCGACACUGCGAGGUGAAGCCAAUCCCGUAAAAUCGGUCUCAGUCCGGAUUGGAGUCUGCAACUCGACUCCAUGAAGUUGGAAUCGCUAGUAAUCGUAGAUCAGCAUGCCACGGUGAAUACGUUCCCGGGCCUU
rnacentral:rRNA from 1 species